CAAUAGCGUAUAUUAAAGUUGUUGCAGUUAAAAAGCUCGUAGUUGGAUUUCUGGUCGGAAGCUCCUGUCCUCUGAUGAGCGUACAAGUGCGUCCUACCAUCCUUCUGUUAACCUUUAAGGCUUUCGCGGCUUUCUAGGGGCUCAGAUAUUUUAACUUGAGAAAAUUAGAGUGUUUCAGGCAGGCUAGCGCCGGAAUACAUUAGCAUGGAAUAAUGGAAUAGGACUUUUGCCUCUUCUGUUGGUCAUGAGGCUCGAGUAAUGAUUAAUAGGGAUAGUUGGGGGCAUUAGUACUUAACUGUCAGAGGUGAAAUUCUCGGAUUUGUUAAAGACUAACUUAUGCGAAAGCAUUUGCCAAGGAUGUUUUCAUUAA
rnacentral:rRNA from 1 species